rnacentral:rRNA from 1 species
CAGUAGCCGCGGUAAAACGGAGGGCGCGAGCGUUACCCGGAUUUACUGGGCGUAAAGCGUGCGCAGGCGGUUGUGUAAGACAGGUGUGAAAUCCCCGGGCUUAACCUGGGAACUGCGCUUGUGACUGCACAGCUAGAGUAUGGCAGAGGGGGGCGGAAUUCCACGUGUAGCAGUGAAAUGCGUAGAGAUGUGGAGGAACACCGAUGGCGAAGGCAGCCCCCCGGGCCAGUACUGACGCUCAUGCACGAAAGCGUGGGGAGCAAACAGGAUUAGAUACCCGCGUAGUCCCUGUCUCUUAUAC